UACGAGGGGGGCAAAUGUUGUUCGGAAUCACUGGGCGUAAAGGGAGCGUAGGCGGGCUUCUAAGUUAGAUGUUUAAUCCCGGGGCCCAACCCCGGACAGGCACCUAAAACUGGAAGUCUUGAAUAGUGGAGAGGACGGCGGAAUUGGGGGUGUAGCGGUGGAAUGCGUAGAGAUCUGGAGGAACACCGGUGGCGAAGGCGGCAUCCUGGACCGGCAUUGACGCUGAGGCGCGAAAGCCAGGGGAGCAAACGGG
rnacentral:rRNA from 1 species